rnacentral:rRNA from 1 species
GAUGAACGCUGGCGGCGUGCCUAAUACAUGCAAGUCGAGCGAACAGACGAGGAGCUUGCUCCUCUGACGUUAGCGGCGGACGGGUGAGUAACACGUGGAUAACCUACCUAUAAGACUGGGAUAACUUCGGGAAACCGGAGCUAAUACCGGAUAAUAUAUUGAACCGCAUGGUUCAAUAGUGAAAGACGGUUUUGCUGUCACUUAUAGAUGGAUCCGCGCCGCAUUAGCUAGUUGGUAAGGUAACGGCUUACCAAGGCAACGAUGCGUAGCCGACCUGAGAGGGUGAUCGGCCACACUGGGACUGAGACACGGUCCAGACUCCUACGGGAGGCAGCAGUAGGGAAUUUUCCGCAAAGGGCGAAAGCCUGACGGAGCAACGCCGCGUGAGUGAUGAAGGUCUUCGGAUCGUAAAACUCUGUUAUUAGGGAAGAACAAAUGUGUAAGUAACUAUGCACGUCUUGACGGUACCUAAUCAGAAAGCCACGGCUAACUACGUG